rnacentral:rRNA from 1 species
AUGUAGCAUAAUCAAUCGCCAUUUAAUUGAUGGAUAGUAUGAAUGGUUAAACGAAUAUUACACUGUCUCAAGUAAAAAUUUUAUGAAAUUAAGAUAAUAGUUAAGACGCUAUUUCAAACUGUAAGACGAAAAGACCCUAUAGAGCUUAACUAUAAACUUUUUUGAUAAAGAUCAUCAAAAAAUGAUUAUAAAAGAAAGUUAGGUAGUUUAGUUGGGGCGACUGUCUUCUAAAAAGAACGAAGACUAGCAAAGUUAAUAAAAAUAACUUAUUGUUUAAUAAAUUUAUUUAACAAUUACAAAAGUAGGCUAUAAUGACCCAUUGAACUUAAGAAAGUAAAUCAAUGAUUAAAAAAUAAAAGCUACCUUAGGGAUAACAGGAUAAUUUUGUUUUAGAGAUCAUAUCGAAGACAAAGUUUGUCACCUCUAUGUUGAAUUGAGAUAUCCUGAUAAUGCAGAAGUUUCAAAGGUAGGUCUGUNCGACC